UUUUUCUUUUCUUUUUUUUUGAGACAGAGUCUAACUCUGUUGACCAGGCUGGAGUUCACUGGUGCAAUCUCAGCUCACAGCAACCUCUGCCUCCUGGGCUCAAGCCAUCCUCUCACCUCAGCCUCCCAAGUAGCCAGGAUUACAGGCAUACACCACCAGGCCUGGCUAAUUUCUAUACUUUUUGUAGAGACAGGGUUUCGCCAUGUUGCCUAGGCUGAUCUCAAACUCCUGGGUUCAAGUGAUCCACCCGCCUCAGCAUCCCAAAGUACUGGGAUUUCAGGUAUGGGCCUCUGCACCAGGUCUUGAGGUGACAGGUUUCAACCAGAUGCUCCUGGCAGGGCCAGUAAGGCCCAGCACACCUGGCAGGAAACAAUGAUGUUUUUCUCCCCUCACUCCAGGUAUGGAAUCACAGCAACUAACAGCUUCUCCUGGAUGUGCCCUGCAAAUGGAAACCGACAUGGCAUGACAUCUUGAAUCCGAGGGGGGGAAAUCUGCUCAAACAGACAGCUAUUUAAAAGGUUCUCUUCCCAUUUGUACCUGAUGCUCUCUUCUGACUCUGAAUGCAGAAGACAAAGGCCCAUCUCCUUGGAAAAAUACACAGCAUGAAACUUGGGUCCGCGUACCCUCUCCAGCUGUCCCUUCCCGCUCCCCGUCACACACUGCACUUGUCACAGCACCACCCAACCCACCAGGUCUUCCAGGGCUCUGUGGAGGAGGGGGAGAGUGGGGACAGUGCCAGGUACCGUGUUACACACUUUCAUCCAUUAUCGUUUUAAUUCUCACGACAACUUUGCAAUUGUGGUGGCAGCAUUCCCAUUUUACAUAAGGGAAAAUUAACUUUAAUGAAAUUACACAUGAAAGGAAAAAGUACUUAAAAACUGACACAAUUAGCUUCUGCCUUCUGAGACAGUGACAUCCUUCAAAGCAUGGAAAAUGGACGUCUUUACUGCCCGUUUCCCUAUGGAAGGAGACAGGGUCCACCCCACAUGAGCCGGCCCGGCCUGCCAUGAGUCCGCAGGCACGGGAAUCCAUGCACAGAAGGAGGCCUGGAGCUGAGCUCAGGGGUGGGGACUGUUUUUGCUCUGUAUAACAAAAACAGAGGGCGGUGGGUGUUAGAGCUGCUUGGGAGCAGCAAAGGGGGAGAGGUGGAAAGGGCAAGAAAUAUAGGAAGACACAGCAGCCAACCUGGCAAAAAGGCCGGAGGGGAUUUCUCAGCACAGAAGUUUCAGACAGUCAACAUUCACAUUACCGUGAUGUCAGCUCCAUCUUCCCAAAAACUGGAGUGCAGGCUGAACCAAAACCAGAAGGGAGAGGGAGAGGGAUGUGUGGAAUGCGUCAUGUGUGAAGUGCAUGUGUGCCUGCGUGUGUAUGUGUGUUAAUGCAUGUGUGUGCGUGUGUGUACAUGUGCCUGCGUGUGAGUGUAUGUGUGUAUGAGUGCGCAUGUGUACGUGUGUGCCUGUGUGACCAUGUGAUGUGUGCCUGUGUAAUGCCUGUGCCUAUGUGUAUGUGUGUAUGAGUGCGCAUGUGUACUUGUGUGCCUGUGUGUAUGAGACCAUGUGUGCAUGUGUGUGUGCCUAUGUGUACGUGUGCCUGUGUGUAUGUGAGUACAUGUGUGCAUGUGUGAGUGCAUCUGUGUG
ensembl:lncRNA